GGUUUGGAAUAUUCUGGAAUUGCAUUGAUAACAAGCUCCUGGCUGCUGCUGCUACGACUACUCAGGGGCCACACUGGUCAAGGCUAGUUCCUUCUUUUUACAGCUAGAAUGGAACAAGGACAGUGGAUGGUUUUUGAAUAGGAAAGUUAGGUGAAAUACAUAAUUGAAAUGAGAUGUUGCACUUCUUAGUUCAGGUGUAAAAAUGUCUUGGCACCUGUCAUGUGAGUUACAGAGAAUGUCAACCCUUGUCUAUGUCCUCGGGUCACAUUUUCCAAUACAAAAUAGAUGAGAUUACAGCACCCGCCUGAACCCCACCCUGACCUCAAACUUGUUACGUAGUCGAGGAUAACCUUGAAUUUUCGAUCCUCCUGCACCUACCUCCUGAAUGCUGGGUUUACUCAGUUCUCUGGACUACUGAGGAAUGGAACCAAGGACUCUGGGCACGCUAGGAGAACACCACCUGCGGAGUUGAUUGCCCAGACCUUUGAAGUGUGUUUUCAGAUUGUCAAACAUCUACGGCAUAUUACACGUAUUACCAGUGAGCAACGCUCCUCCAUCAUGUGGCAUCCCAGCGUAGAGCCAAACAACCAUGGACUGAGCCCUCUGAAUCCAAAUGCCAAAGUAAAUCUUCCCCCUCUACAUUAUUAUUAUUUCUAC